GUUUCAUCCCACAUGGGCACGAAACAUACCACAUUUUACGGAGGAUGUAGCCCCAGAGAAGAGGGAGGUGGAGAAGCAUAAAUGAAAGGCACCUUUUCCUUCCUCUAGAAGAUGCACAGAGAAUUUCUGACCUUGUGACGUUUGGGAGUGAGGAGAUCCCAUACAGAGGCAUCCAGGUAUUUCCAGAGAUCCUGUGGCAGGUGAGGUCUGCCCUCGCUGGAGCCAACUCGUCUAUAAUAUCUUCCUAACAGCAGAACCUGGGUCUCACUCUGUCCCCUAGGCUGGAAUGCAGUGGUGUGAUCAUGGCCCACUGCAGCCUUGAACUCCUGGACCCAAGCAAUCCUCCCAUCUCAGCCUCCCAAGUAGCUGGAACUACAGGUACGGGAAAACUGGCUUAGAGAUGUUAAAUAUCCUGGAUUAUUGUCAGUUUAACAAAAUAAUUUCGGCUAUCAAAGAUCAAGUGGGAUAAAUUUCAGAGGAAGAAACUGAGCUCCUUGCAUACCAUAGAGGAGAGGUCGAGGUCCUUCCACUGAAGCACCAAGUGG
rnacentral:lncRNA from 1 species